UUACCAAAAAAGGUGGUGGUUUGAUAGGCGUUAACCCUGUGGGUACGGUGAGUGCGGCGUACACCGGCCUGUUAUCCCUCCACCGUCAAGAGCGGGAGGUGGUCGCUGCUCUGUGAAGCCAGCCUGACGCGGUGUCCUCCGCUUUAGGAUCCUAAGAAGCUCGAGCCUUCGCCCGGGCCGCACGGCUCAGCUGCCUGACUUGGAACGGACAAGCCGAGUAUAGUACGGUCGCACCCAACCCAGUCGAGUUAAACACACCAUCCCACCGCCUCAAGGCUCCCGCUCGGGUUACAAGCCCACGCUACCGGGCUCGGCGAUCGAGGCGCUUUCGCAGCAGAAUAUAACGUCUUUGAUUCUUUUAGAAUUGGCGAUGUGGGACUAAGAAUUGUGCCAACCCGCCACCGAUUCAUCCACCAGCAAAAUGCUUUGGAGGAUAACACAAACUGCAAGUGCCCCAAGAGAAUUGGAUUGCGCACGAACAGCUUCUUUCUACUCCAACGCCCCGAAUGAUGCAUUCAUGGCCAAACUGUGUUGUUCAUGGAUGCAGAUCGAAAAGCGCUAAGUAAUCCCCAAAGGUAAGAAUACGUUUGAUUGUCUUACGAUACAACCUUACCCUAUUAGAAAUUUAAUCUCAUAAUCUAAUAAUACUAAAAGAACAAAAAAGAGAAUCCAAUUACAGAGAAAAGGAAUGAUAAAAAAGUGGGGUCUGAUCGAUGUUAGCUUGCCGAGCAUGGUAAGGUGUGGCUUCGACCAGUCUGCCAUCCCUUCCACUGUCGAGAGCGGGAGGUACUCGUUUCUUUGUUAGGAUGCGUAUGACUCGAGUCUUCGCCUGGAGUCACAUUGCUCAAUUUCUUGACUCAAAAUGGGCAAGUCGGGGUUGGGUGGGUCAAACCUAACCCAAUCAAGCACAACACAUCAUUCCACCUCCUUCAUGCCCUCACUCAUGUGACAAGCCUGUGCUACGAGGCUCGACAAUUACAAGUAUUUCACAGAGUAAUAUAAAGGCAUAAAAAUAGGUAAAAACUAGCAAUGUGGGACGAAGAAUAGUGCGACCACUUUCCCCUCCUCCCUUUGCAGAGAGAUUCACGAACCAAAUGCUUUCGAGAGGGAACAUAGGCUUGGAUGGUGUAUUUGUCCACCUGUUUUUAUUUUGGAGAAAGAAUUCAACUGCAUUGUAAACGUAAAACUCCUUCCUACUCCCCUCCUCAAUGAUAUAUAAAUAUUUAGAAAAAAACUUUAGUUUUCAAAAAUUCUCCAUCUCAACUUUUAAAAAUAUAAACAAAGUACCUAUUUCGUGCAUUAAAACAUCGUUUUAUCUCUACUUUUGUCGGAUCCAUUAUUACCUCAACCCUAUAUCAAUGCUCUAACUCUUUUCCCCUUUGCUAAGAACAACAAUAGAGUAGGGGGUCACGAAUCCUUGGUACUUUGUGUCUUCACACACGAGUUGACUUACGCACUUAGCCAUGCUUUUAUCUUGAACAGUCAUCCAUUACCCACAGCAUUGUUGAUCGCCUUCAUGAGUGGGCCCAGCCAAACUCUUUCCCCGCCUAUGAUCGAUGACGAGGGGUGCUUAUGGGCGAUUGCGAGGGUACACAGUAUGCCUCCCCUCCUUCCUCACCCACGAACAAUGAUGAGUGAAGGCAUAGGGGUCGUGGCCCUUGGUUCUUCAUUUGCAAUCGAUAACGAUAGAGUUCAAAUAUAUAUUGUAUAGCUUAAUAUUUUCAAAGUUACGAUCGCCUAAUAUUUUUUAAGAAUAUACAUAUUUAGAAUUUUUUUAAAUCUAAGAUCUAUAUAAUAUUUAUUUAUUUUUAAUUAGUUUAGUCCUUCUAUUCAAAGAUACGAACUUGAAUAAUCGAUGAUAAAAUAAGACAUAAUAUCAUGAAAAAUAAAAAAAUAUUUUUUUAGAAAAAUUAGAAAACCAUAUUAAUUAGUAAAAGCUGAAAAAAAAUAUUAGCAUCACCAUGGGCUAAGGAGUUACAAAUCCUAUGAAAAAUCAAUUUAAACUAAGCUAUGUUGAAAUUGCAUAGUUGAUCCUUUCUAAUCCCACGUCAUUGGGUUUUAGAGGAUAAUGUGAUGGGACAUACCAUGGUACUUCAGCAAAGCGGAGCUUUCUUUCUAUCAUUUAAUAGUCCUAUGCGUUGUAUCUUACUAUUAUUUUUAAUGCGAAAAAGUGGUGGUUUGGUCAGUGUAAGCCCGAUGGGUAUGGUGGGGGCGGCGUGCAUCGGCCUGUUAUGCUUCCACCGUCAAGAGAGGGAGGUUAUCGCUGCUCUGUGAAGCCAGCCUGACGCGGUGUCCUCCGCUUUAGAAUCGCAUGUGACUCAGGCCUACGCCAGGACCGCACUGCGAAGCUGCCUGACUUGGAACGGGCAAGCCAAGUCUGGAAAUCACCGGACCCAACCCAAUAGAGCUGAACACAACAUCCCACCACAUCCUUGCCCCCACUCGGGUUACAAGCCUGCGUUACUGGGCUCGGCGAUCGAGGGCCUUCCGCAGCCUCAUAUAACUUUUUGCGAGACUCUAAAUAUUGGCGAUGUGGGACUAAGAGCACUUCCUCCGCUCCCUCCUUUCCCUUUCCGAAAAUUCAUGCACCGCGUGCUUUCUGAGAGAACCCGAAUUGCACCCAAACUUUCGAUCAUGGUUCUUACCACCUUUUCAUCACCUAAAACUAUUUCAUCGGCAAAGAGGCCAUUUGAAUAAGGUCACUAUUCAAAAGCUUAAGAAUAAGGUUACUAUUUAAAUGCUCGAGUUUUUAGAAAAUAAUAAAGUAGAAGAUAUCAAUAGAAUUGUGUUAAUCAUCACCUCUUUACUCUAACGUUUAUCAUCUUUAUAAAAAUUAUCAAAAGAUAAAAGGUGCUUCAUCUCCUUCUCUUUGAAGUUUAUUUUUAGGUUGCCCUUCGUCCUUGUACAUUUUUCAAUGAUAAAUCAUAUAUAAGAUUUAUGACCCAAUGAGCUAUCUCCUUUCAAGAUGAGUCUAUCAAUAUUAAUAUCAAUUUGUCUCUCUGUGACUCCUGAGGUCGAGGUAAGUGUUCUUGGUGCUUAAGGAUGAAUCGCGCAAGAUAAAUCUGAUGUAUGAAUUCUUCAAUAUCCUUUUUCAAGUCUCGAUAUUCAUUUGUGUCAUGGACGUAAUUCAGAUAGAACCGAUAAUAUUUAGAUCCGUCUUUUUUUGCCAAUGAAGUAUUCAUCGAGUGAGAGUCUUUUAAGAGUCUCUUUCCUUUUAUCGGUAGAAAAAAACUUUAAUUCUAAGCAUAUUCAAGGGGGUUAGCUCAGACCUUGGGCGAGGUAACUCAAGUCGUUCGUUCUUCCUCUAUUGUGAUGACCUCGGGGUCGGGGUGGACUAUAGUUGCUCUUACUUCGACCUCUUGUGCGGCUGACUCUUUACGCUUACCAGAUAUUAUUAUCCUGAUGGUAAUAUAUUGAUUGACUCUUUGAAGUGCCUGUAGUAUUGUCGCCGAUGACCUCUCCACUAACGACGAGAAGAGAUGAGAGGACUUGAGACUCAUCAUGAAGGUUUGUAUCAAGAGUGACGAACGGAUAUACCACGCUUUGGAUUUUAUUAAUGAAACUAAGUGAUGAAGUUUGUAAGAAUUUCCUUCAAUUGCAUGAAUACGAGAAGCAUUGACAUUGCUAGCCUCGGGUGCACAUUCCCGAUGAAGUGAAAUUCAAACUUCCUCGUGAACUAGGUAAUGAAACUGAUGGAGAGUGGCUUCAGAUAUAAGUAUCAUUCUCGUGUUAGGUCUCUUAAUAUAGUCGAGAAUGUGUGACACAUCAAGGCAUCCGAAGUGUCAUACAAUAAUAUUUAGGCAUGGAAAGUUAUAAUGUGCUCCAUUGGGUUAGCAUUGCCAUCGAAUGCCUCCAACGACGGUGGUGGAAGAUUGUUAGAAUCGAUUCUUCCUAAAUUUUCUAGAUAAAUGAUGACCGACUCGAGGUGGAGUUAACCAAUGCUUCCCUUUUGGAUUAUUAAAAUUUUUAUCAUAUCUCCUUCAAACGAUGAUCCAUCUAUCAUAGUUGGAUUUGCAAGGAAUCCUUCAUCAAAUUCGUCGAUCUAGUCUCUGAUUUAAGCAUGAUAGAAUCGUGAUAUGGAAUGCUAAAUUUCAUGAUUAUGGAGCGAAGUGCUCUCUCGGCCAUGAUUCGAUAGGUUUUGGGUACUUUUAGGAUGUAACACUAUGUUGGAUGGGGGAAAGUUGAUGGGUGCUAGUGGUGGGUGAGCCAGUGACAACAACUGAGUUAGUGGCGUUGUCUAUUAAGCUAACUAGGGUAAAUGUUAGAGAUUUUAAUAUAUAAAAGAAGUUUUAUAUUUUAAUAUAUAGAAUAUGCAUACUUGCAAGGCAUCUUAUGUUUGUCAAUUGUUGUCACCCCUUUUUUCUUAUUUAAGAUCCCUUCUGAUUUUUUUAAUCAUAAUUAUAUUUUUACUGUUUUUUAAUAUUUAAUUCCUUCCAUCGAAAGAAAUGAACUUGAAUAACGAGAUGAUAUAAUAAAAGACACAAUAUCAACAAAAAUUUCUCAAGACCUACAUAAAGAAAAAACAAUUCUUUGUAAAAAGAGAAAAAGCUAUAUUAAUUAGCAAAAACUAAAAAAAAACGAAGAGCCGUUAGUAGCCUCCGAGGAAGAACAAAAAGUGGGUCAGCCUAUAAAAGUUGGCGUUGCCAUGGGGCUAAGGAGUUACAAAACCUAUCAACAACCAAUCCAAACAAACCAUGCAAAUCAACAACUAUACAAAGAUGAAUGAUGAUCUUAUUAAAUAUUAAACUUAAUAUUUAUGAAGCAAAAUGAAUGUGCUUGUCACAAUAAAAUCAUAAGAGUUCACGAGUGCUUAAGUUUUUUUUACGGCUAGAAUAAUGGAAUAGAUAAAACUUUGGUCGAGCUUACGAACAUAAAAAACGAAAAAAAAAUUAAAAUUUUGGUUAUGUAAAAGCUCAAUAAGAGUUCAAAAUUGGUUAAACUAAUCAGUGUUGCCCAUUUGUGACUGACAUCCACACGAGAUAGCCGAUUAGUUAUUUUUUAUUACUGGAAUAACGUGCAUCUCGACACUGCACAUUGACAAAGCCGAGCGCAUACCUUCCAUUGUCAAAAUCAACUAUGCUAAUGAUCAUGUUAGUGCGAUGGGUUCACUCUGUCAUUUGCCUACGCAUACAAUAUAUACUUUAGAAAACACAGAUAUAUUGAAAUUGCAUAGUUCGUCGUGAUCCUUUCUAAUCCCACACCAUGGGCCUUUAGCGGAUGAUGAGAUGGGACAUACUUCGGUAUCUCAGUAAAGUCAGAGCUCAUUCCUUAAAGGUUUUAUUAUAUUAAUUAUUGAGAGAUUAUAGAUUUUCUUUUAUUUUUUUUUGUUUUUAAUACAUCGCUCGUAGUAGUCUUAUGAAAGAUAAAAAGAGAAGAGAAUACGACUACAGUAGUAGCGACAACUAUAGCUUCAUCGCUACCACUAUGGUGAUUGUUGUAGCUUGUUGUGAUUGUAGCAUUAUCGUUGCUUAGGGCAACUACAACAAUGUCGUUGCGGCAUUUGUUGGCCAUGGCUGUUGAUAAGUCGCAUGCGAAGAGCUAUGCAACCACGAGCGAUGCAGGCGACGAAUGACCAGUGCACCAUCAACAAGACCUGCAAGUGUGGGCGUAGUGGGAUGCGACGACGACAACAACAUGAGAAUUUGAUUUUUUUUAAAGCACAUUUUUGUACCUCGAAUGCAUCUUGAUAUAAGAAAAUCAUAUCUCCUAAGGGCUCUUCACUGAUUUAAUCACCCGAGGAGAAGCACAAGUAAAAUUCUCCUACAUCAUUAGAAUCCAUGAAGUGAUAUAUAACACGAAUUACGAUCAGACCUAAACAAAAGAGGAAUCUCUCGAGCGACAUAACAAAAAUGAAUCCCAUAUUUGCUCUUUACAAUCAAUCUUUUGGCAUUCACUAAAAGUUAGACUAAUUUAGUUGAUAAAAAUCUUCGUUGUAUUUUUUAAAUAUUAUUAUAAAAAUGAAUCCCAUAUUUGCUCUUUACAAUCAAUCUUUUGGCAUUCACUAAAAGUUAGACUAAUUUAGUUGAUAAAAAUUUUCGUUGUAUUUUCUAAAUAUUAUUAUCAGUGUUGUCCCUCUUGAGAUAAAAAAAAGAAAUCGGUGUGCAAAAAGUGGUGGUCUGGUCAGUGUUAGCCCGAUAGGUACGGCGGGUGUGGCGUGCACCGGCCUGUUAUCCUUCCACCGUCAAGAGCGGGAGGUUAUCGCUGCUCUGUGAAACCAGCCUGACGCGGUGUCCUCCGCUUUAGGAUCCCAGAUAGCUCGGGCCUUCGUUCGAGCCACAUAGCUCAGCUGCCUGACUUGGAACGGGCAAGCCAAGUCUAGCACGACCGCACCCAACCUAUUCGGGCUGAACACAACAUUCCACCACCUUAUUGCCCCCACUAGGGUUACAAGCCGGCGUUACCGGGCUCGGCGAUCGAGGCGCUUCCACAACUUCAUAUAGCCUGUCAGUGAAUCCUAAAAAUUGGCGAUGUGGGACUAAAAACGCUCCCUCCUUUUUCCUUUCCGAACAUUCGUGCACCGCAUGCUUUCCAGGAGAAACCCGAAUUGCAUCUAAAGUUUCGAUCAUGGUUCCCCACCACCUAAAACCAUUCCAUCCCCUUCGAACAGACCAACAGAAGAUGCCCUGCAGACCCCUCCAGAUUACCCGACUCCUAAUCUUGAAACCUCGAAACCCAAUGCUCUCCUGCAUCGGGGAUUCAACAUGUUUCGAGCUAAAUUUCUCCUACAUCAGCUGACCGCAAUGCUGUAACUUUGGUGAUGAUGAAGAGGUGUAAGCUGAUAAAUGCUAUAACAAUGCCCGAAUACGUUGUCGGCCUCGUUGCAGAAGAGGAUCGACUUUUAGAUUGUGAAUCUGUGUCUUUGAACAUAGAUGCGCUAGCAUGUAUAUAAACCAUUACUUCUUAAUUCGAUGACAUUAAUAAAUAUAAUUGAUACGUCAUAUUUUGGCCUCGAAGACAUAUCAGGUCAGAAUCCAUACUAAGGCACUGCUUGACACGUCACAUCUUGGGAACCACAAGACACGCCAAGUCAGAAUCCAUACUAAGGCACUGCUCGGCAUGUCACGCCUCAGGAACCCCGAGACGGCGCCGCCCCCAAGACACGCCAAGUCAGAAUCUGUACUAAGGCACUGCUCGGCACGUCUACCAUGCCAAACCUCGUACGACUGACCCACGUACAAUAAUAUAAAGACCUCUGGCCGGCAUCUGGCUAGGAGGGGAAAAAAGGUGGUAAAAUCAAUUGAUCACUCUACUGACUUGUUCGUCAGAGGGUUCUCGUCGGGAAUCACCCAACGAGGGCCAUUUUUGAAGGAAAAUGCAGCCACCUCACGAAGACGAGCUACCAACCACCCGAGAAUCCCCAUCCAGUGCACGAAGGAGAGCAGCCAAUCGGUCCAUAUCCUAAACAAUGCCAACCAGUACUCCUUCUCGAGGGCUUGACCACCUCACGAAGAUGAGCUGCCAACCACCUCAGAAAAAGAGAGACGUAGCUCGACAUACACGACGCUCGGAUCGGCACACCAAGGAACACUGAUCAACACCCCAUUGCAAGGGCCCGAUAGACCUCGAUAUCCAACUCAACCGAUAGAAGACUCCCGACAUCGACCCGUAGACCAGGCUGUGCUAACUCACAAGCCACAGCACAUUUGUUUACUAACAUUUUGACGCUAGAAGGAGGGCAUGUCGCAAGAGCAACAGAUAGGGGUCCUCCCCGAGGGAGAACCACCGACCGACCUCCCUUUUGUUAAACCAAAAAGUCAGGCCUUCCCCACCCCCGGAGACAGGAGGAUCCCGGCUUCGAUGCUAGAUCGCUACUGUCGUCUGUUCAACGACCCGGGAUUGUCACCCCCGAGGCUCACCAUAGGGCCCUCGGUCGUGACACCCGAGGCAUUCCUUAGCCUAACCAAGCAAGUACAGGCCAUGGCGGGCAUGAUGUAGACGCUCGCUCCAAUCAUUCCUCAGAUCGUGCGGCUAGCGACGCCCCCGACCGACCCGUCCCAACAGCGACCGAACAGGGAGCAGGUCGGGACUGGAGAAGCCCAAGAGCAAGCAACGGACUCGAGAGGUCCGCCCGAGUAGAGCAUACUCGCACCCUGCCGAAUCACACCGCUCCACUCCGAGCCCGACACCAUAUCGUCCGACUCGGUGGAUGACUCGUUCAGGAUCCAGUUGUCUCGGAUCAACCAACGCUUGGAUGAGUUCCAGCGCGAGUUCCAGAAAUCGCGAUGCAAGUCGAAUGAAGGCGGCUCGGGCGAAUCGCCUUUCACUCAGGAAAUACAUGACAAGCCUGUACCACUCGACUUUAGGUUGCCCACAUUAGAGAUGUACGACGGCGGCUCUGACCCCGCAGAGCAUGUCGUCAUGUUUCGGGCUCAGCUAUGGCACCUCCAAUGCAUUGAUGUGUCGGGAAUUCCCGACCACCUUCAGGGGCCAGCACGAGCGUGAUUCAACCGGCUGCGCCAGUCCUCAGUCUCAUCCUUCGACCAGCUCACAAGGGAGUUCGAGCAAAACUUCCUCACCAACGUGCAACCCAAGCCUUCUAUCGCUACACUGCUGGCGUUAUCUCAACACGAGGAUGAGUCGCUCUCUCAGUUCGUGGCACAUUUAGCCACCGAGAUCUAUGAAUUUUCGGACGCUCAUCUCUCUCUAAUAAUGCAGGUGUUUCUGAUGGGCUUGAAACCUUCAAGGUUCUUUUGGUCACUAAUCGAGAAGCCUCCAGUAACCAUCCCCGAGAUGCUCCAAUGCGUCAACCAGUACAUCGCCGCCAAAGCUCUGGUGGUGGGAAAGUGCAUGGACAGCAAGAGGCCAAGGGCGAAACAAUCCCGGGGAACGACUUCCGUAGCCCCAGUGCAACCCCGCUAGAGGCUUGACUGACAAGAGCUACUGCUCCUGAGGCCCCCGCCUCUCCCUCUGAGCAUGUUCCACCAGGACUAUGACCACGGCACGGAAGAUUGCUGUGACCUCCAGAAUCAAAUCGAGGACUUGAUCCGAAAAGGUUAUCUCAAGUGCUAUGUCAAGGAAACCCGAGAAGCAACUCCAUGUCCUAGGGGACCCUUCGAAAGACGCCUCAUCAUCCAAAAUAUCAUGUCGAAAAGCCACUCGCGACAAGAGGUCCACAAGCUCGCCAGAUCGGUUCCCGACCUGCGACUCGCCGACCCAUCUCUUGCCUGAGCCGCUCUAGAUCGGUUCCCGACCUGUGCCUUGCCGGCCCAGCUUUUGCCCAAGUUGCUCCAGAUCAGUUCUCGACCUGCAGCUCGCCAGCCCAGCUCUUGCCCGAGUUGCUCUAUAUCGAUUCCCGACCCGCGGCUCGCCGGCCGAGCAUUUGUCCGAGCCGCUCCAGAUUGGUUCCCGACCUAUGGCUCACCGGCCCAGCUCUCAUUCGAGUCGCCCCAAAUCGGUUCCCGACCUGCAGCUCGCCGGCCCAGCUCUUGCCCGAGCCGCUCCAGAUCGGUUCCCGUCCUGCGGCCCGUUGGCCCAGCUCUUACCCAAGUCGCUCAAGAUUAGUUCUCGACCUCAGGCUCGCCGGCCUAGCUCUUGCCUGAGCCGCUCUAGAUCGAUUCUCGACCUGCGGCUCGCCGGCCUAGCUCUUGCCCAAGCGGCUCCAGAUCGGUUCUCGACCUGUGCCUCGCGGGCUCAGCUUUUGCCCGAGUCACUCCAGAUCGGUUCCCGACCUACGGCUCGUCGGCCCAACUCUCACCCGAGUAGCUCCAGAUCGGUUCUCGACUUGUGGCUCGCCAGCCCAACUCUUGCCCGAGCCACUCCAGAUCGGUUUCCGACCUGCGGCUCGUCGGCCCAACUCUUGCCCGAGUUGCUCUAGAUCGAUUCCCGACUUGCGGCUCUCUAGCCCAGCUCUUGCCCGAGCCAUCCAGAUCGAUUCCUGACCUGCGGGUAGCCAGCCCAGCUCUUGCCCAAGCGCUCUAGAUAAGUUCCUGACCUGUGCCUCGCUGGCCCAGUUCCUGCCCGGGUUGUUCCAGUUUGCUCCUGACUUUCGAUUCGGAGUCGAGCUUACUCACUUGGUCCCCAGAUUCAAUUCGGAGCCGAGCUUACUCACUCGGUCCCCAUAUCCGAUUCGGAGCCAAGCUUACUCACUCGGUCCCUAGGUUCAAUUCGGAGCCGAGUUUACUCACUCGGUCCCUAUGUUCAAUUCGGGGAGCCGAGCUUACUCACUUGGUCCCCAGAUUCAAUUCGGAGCCGAGCUUACUCACUCGGUCCCCAUAUUCGAUUCAAAUUCGAGCUUACUCACUUAGUCCCUAGGUUCAAUUUGGAGCCGAGCUUAGUCACUCGGUCCCUAGAUCCGAUUUAGAGCCGAGCUUACUCACUCGGUCUCCAGAUUCGAUUCGGAGUCGAGCUUACUCACUCGGUCCCCAGAUCCGAUUCAGAGCCGAGCUUACUCACUCAGUCCCCAGGUUCAAUUCGGAGCAGAGCUUAGUCACUCGGUCCCCAAGUUCAAUUCAGAGCUGAGCUUAUUCACUUGAUCCCCAGGUUCAAAUCGGAGAUAAGCUUAUUCACUCGGUCCCUAGGUUUGAUUCGGAGUCGAGCUUACUCACUCGGUCCCCAGGCUUAAUUCGGAGCCGGGCUUACUCACUCGGUCACCAGGUUCAGUUUGGAGCCGAGCUUAGUCACUCAAUCCCCAGGUUCAAUUCAGAGUCGAACUUAUUCACUCGAUCCCCAGGUUCAAAUCAGAGAUGAGCUUAGUCACUCAGUCCUCAGGUUCAUUUCUUGCUCGGGUCGCUCCAGAUCGCUCCCGACUUGCUACCCAUCGACACCGAAACCCGAGCCCGAGCUCGGUCACUCGACCCAUAGGCCCAAUCCAGUGUCCGAGCCACGCAUCUCAGCCAAUCCAACGCCCGAGUCGCAUCUCGGCCAAAUCCAAUGCCCGAGUCGCAUCUCGGCCAAAUCCAGCAUCCGAGCCACGCACCUCGGCCAUCCAACACCCGAGCCACGCAACUCGGCCAAUCUAACGCCCGAGUCGCAUCUUGGCCAAAUCCAAUGCCCGAGUCACAUCUCGGCCAAAUCCAACGUCCAAGCCACACACCUCGGCCAUCCAAAGCUCGAGCCACGCAUCUCGGCCAAUCCAAUGCCCAAGUCGUAUCUCGGCCAAUCCAAUACCCAAGUCGCAUCUCGACCAAAUCCAACGUCCAAGCCAUGCACAUUGCCCAUCCAAUGCCCGAGCCACGCAUCUCGACCGAUCCAACACCCGAGUAGCAUCUUGGCCGGUCCAAACGCCCGAACCACACAUCUUGGCCGAUCCAAUGCCCGAGCCAUACCUUGCGGCCAAUCUUAUGCCCGAGUCACAUCUCGAUCGAUCCAACGCCCGAAUCACCGGCCUAGUCUGUUAAUCCAAGUCGCUCCACGUCAACCCCUGACUAGCUACCCGUCAAGUCUCUAAACCGAGCCACCCCGGCUCGCUCGCCAACUUGCAAACUCGGCAGUUGUAACACCAAGUCGUGCCAAACCCGUUAUCUAACCUACGACACGUCGGUGUCGCCUCGUCGGUUUCGCCACGUCGGUUUCGACACGUUGGUUUUGCCUCGUCAGGCCCCUGCCUCCUGAUCAGUAGAGUCGAUCUUGCACGAAGCAUGGGGCGCUACCCUUCUAAAUCGCCCCAUGACGAGUUAAUCCAACUUCCCCUCAUGAACGAUCAGCCUCACUUCGAAGUAUCAUAUAAUAAUAUUUGGGCAUGGAAAGUUAUAAUGUCCUCCAUUGGGUUAGCAUUGCCAUCGAAUGCCUCCAACGACGAUGGUGGAAGAUUGUUAGAAUCGAUUCUUCCUGAAUUUUCUAGGUGAAUGAUGAUCGACUCGAGGUGGAGUCAACCAACGCUUCCUUUUUGGAUUAUUAAAUUUUUUAUCAUAUCUCCUCUAAAUGUCGGUCCAUCUAUGAUAGUUGGAUUCGCAAGGAAUCCUUCAUCAAUUUCGUCAACCUAGCCUCUGAUUUAAGCAUGAUAGAGUCAUGAUGUGGUAUGUUAAAUUUAUGGUGAUGGAGCGAAGUACUCUCUUGACCAUGAUUGGAUAGGUUUCGGGUACUCUUAGGAUGUCAACAUUAUGUUGGGUGGGGGAACAUUGAUUGGUGGGUGAGCUAUUGGGCUAACUAGCGUAAAUGUUAGAGAUUUUAAUAUAUAGAAUAUGCAUACUUGCAAGGCAUCUCAUGUAUGUCAAUUGUUGCAACCCCUUUUUUUUCUUAUUUAAGAUCCCUUCUGUUUUUUGAAUCAUAAUUAUAUUUUAACUGUUUUUUAAUAUUUAAUUCCUUCCAUCGAAAGAAAUGAACUUGAAUAACGAGAUGAUAUAAUAAAAGACACAAUAUCAACAAAAAUUUCUCAAGACCUACGUAAAGAAAAAAAAAUUCUUUGUAAAAAGAGAAAAAGCUAUAUUAAUUAGCAAAAACUAAAAAAAACGAAGAGCCGUUAGUAGCCUCCGAGGAAGAACAAAAAGUGGGUCAGCCUAUNNNNNNNNNNNNNNNNNNNNUCAACUAUGCUAAUGAUCAUGUUAGUGCGAUGGGUUCACUCUGUCAUUUGCCUACGCAUACAAUAUAUACUUUAGAAAACACAUAUAUAUUGAAAUUGUAUAGUUCGUCGUGAUUCUUUCUAAUCCCACACCAUGUGCCUUUACCGGAUGAUGAGAUGGGACAUUCCUUGGUAUCGCAGUAAAGUCAGAGGUCAUUCGUUAGAGGAUUUAUUAUAUUAAUUAUUGAGAGAUUAUAGAUUUUUUUUUAUCUUUAUUUUUUAUUUUUAAUUCAUUACUCAUAAUAAUCUUAUUAAAGAUAAAAAGAGAAGAGAAUGGGACUACAGUAGUGUUGUUGUGGGCGACAACUAUAGCAACAUCGAUACCACUAGGGUGAUUGUUGUAGCUUGUUGCGAUCGUAGCAUUACCGUUGCUUAGGGCAACUACAGCAAUGUCAUUGCGGUAUUUGUUGGCCACGGUCGAUGUCAACUAGACGUAAAAGACCAUGAUACUCAGCGGUUGCAUGACAAACUCGUAAGUAUUAGUGGGUGCCACAAUGACUAUGUGGUUGCUAGUUGAUACAAAAUCACGUAUGGCUGCGAUGACGAUGAGGUCGUUGAUUAGUCACAUGCGAAGAGCUAUGCACCGGUAACGAAUGACUAGUGCUCCAAGUGUGGGCAUAGUGGGAUGCGAUGACAACAUGAGAAUUUUUUUUUUUUUUAAGUAUAUUUUUAUCUUGAUAUAAGAAAAUUAUAUCUCCUAAGGGCUCUUCACUGAUUUAAUCACCUGAGGAGAAGCGCAAGUAAAAUUCUCCAGCAUCAUUAGAAUCCAUGAAGUAAUAACGAAUUACGGUCAGACCUAAACAAAAGAGGAAUCUCUGUGGCGUGCACCGGUGUGCAAAAAGUGGUGGUCUGGUCAGUGUUAGCCCGAUAGGUACGGCGGGUGUGGCGUGCACCGGCCUGUUAUCCUUCCACCGUCAAGAGCGGGAGGUUAUCGCUGCUCUGUGAAACCAGCCUGACGCGGUGUCCUCCGCUUUAGGAUCCCAGAUGGCUCGGGCCUUCGUUCGGGCCACAUAGCUCAGCUGCCUGACUUGGAACGGGCAAGCCAAGUCUAGCACGACCGCACCCAACCUAUUCGGGCUGAACACAACAUCCCACCACCUUAUUGCCCCCACUCGGGUUACAAGCCGGCGUUACCGGGCUCGGCGAUCGAGGCGCUUCCACAACUUCAUAUAGCCUGUCAGUGAAUCCUAACAAUCGGCGAUGUGGGACUAAGAGCGCUUCCCCUGCUCCCUCCUUU
rnacentral:lncRNA from 1 species